rnacentral:lncRNA from 1 species
AAAAAAAAAAAAAAAAAGAAUCACUAACCUGGUUCAGCCUUUUCAUUUGGCAGAUGAGAAAACUGAGGACUCAGAAAUUAAAUAACUUGCCUAAGAUGGUAGAGCUCUCUUCAAACAGAACCAGAAAUUAUGGUGCUACAAAAAUACCUGCUUAUCUUAGAGCCAAAACAUUUCAAUUUUAAAAAAUGGCCUCGUAUGGCAGAUACAUAAGUCAGCUCCAGAUCGACUGCAAGAACAAACCAGCAAUCCUGAGAGGAUCCACAGACUCUCUGAAGGAAGCAGACUGCUCCUGCAGGACCCAGGAGACCCCCAAAUACUGUGAGUGCCCCAACUGCAGUGCCACAACUGCAGAAGUGGGAAAGGGAGACCCUCCUCUCCCGAACACACACCCCCACUGGAGAAGCCGAAGAUCUGUUUGUGGGAGAAGUUUCUGACUUUACCUGAAGCUGAGUCAAGUUAGAGAGCCAAGCGAAAAACAGGGGUAGAGGAAGCGGCAGAAAGGCCCUGGAAGCUCGCUGGGUGCCCCUGCAGCCCAUUCCUGCCUGGCACCACAGGGAUCCACUGAGAGGGUGGCCAGAGAUGCAGGGGGUAAAACUCCACAGGGAGAAGGAAUGCUCUAGCCGAAAUUUGUACCAAUUUGAACAGGGUGAGAAACCUCCUGGCCAGAACUCAGGGGAGGGCGUGAAUCCAGUAUGCAGACUUCACUCGUAGGGGAAGAACUAAAGCCCUUUUCUUUCACAGCUGUGAGGCAGAUAGCCUUGGGCAAGUUUUCAAGCCUAUCUCUCCCUCUUCCUGGAAACAGACUCAGGGCUGUUGGUGGGACAUGGUGGGAGUGAGACCAGCCCUUCCGUUUGCAUGAGAGCUGGGUGAGGGCUCUGACUGCCAGCUUUCCUCCACUUCCCUGAUAACCUGCAUGACUCAGCAGAGGCAGCCCUAAUCCUCCUAGGUACACAACUCCAGUGACCUGGGAAUCUCACUCCCAUCUCCCACAGCAGCCACAGCAAGACUUGCCCAAGGAGAGUCUGAGCCUCCUGAACAGUCUGAGCGUAUGCCUAGCCCUGCCCCCACCUGAUGGUCCUUCCCUAUCCACCCUGGUAGUGGAAGAUAAACGGC